GACCAGUGCUCUGGUUUCCCAGAGCUGCCCUAACAAAGCACUUCAACAAGGGGAUGGAGGGGCUGAGCACAGUGGAAUGUCUUGUCUCACAGCUCUGGAGGCCAGAAGCCUGAGGCCAAGAAGCCUUCAGUGCGCCUUUCCGCAGGGUUCCAGCCCUCCUCUCAGAGAGUGCGAAAGAUCCUCGACGGAGGCCCUUGGAGGGAAGGACCGGGCAAAACAGUCCUGUGGUGCCCUGCCUUCACCGCCAGCCCAUCCCUAGCCCACCUGACUCCUUCUGUCCUCAGCAGUGACCAGGUUUAAAGCAUGUCAUCUGGGGUGGAAACCGGAAGUCAGUAAUUUUCAAAGAACUCCAGCGAUCGUGAGGCAGUCUGGGAACCCAGAGCCAGUGGCUUAGAAGCCCUUCAAGGAAAGAAAUGUUCGGCCUUUGUGAAAAAUCGACUCACUCUUGUUGCUUCUGUUUCAUCUGGUGAUGAAGAGUAGUUAAUCCGACGUCAAGGAUUUUCACGCUUUGGGCCAAACUGAGAAGUCUCGACUGAUAAGAAAGUGAGAUGCAGUGGGGACCUAUUUCAAAUAAUUCCUGACCACAUCGAGGUCACUUCCCUCUGAGAGCCAAGAUACGCAUAAUCAAACCAGGAAGUAAACACAUAACCCAAAUGCCCGAUG